rnacentral:rRNA from 1 species
UACGGAGGGUGCAAGCGUUGUUCGGAAUUACUGGGCGUAAAGCGCGUGCAGGCGGCCGACUAAGUCCGGUGUGAAAGCCCGGGGGCUCACCCCCGGAAGUGCGCUGGAAACUAGGUCGGCUAGAGUACGGGAGAGGGAAGCGGAAUUCCUGGUGUAGCGGUGAAAUGCGUAGAUAUCAGGAGGAACACCGGCGGCGAAGGCGGCUUCCUGGACCGAUACUGACGCUGAGACGCGAAAGCGUGGGGAGCAAACAGGAUUAGAUACCCGAGUAGU